rnacentral:lncRNA from 1 species
UUCUCUUCAGCUUCUUGAAAUCGACGUUUUCAGCUCUGUUCGAACCUUUUUUUGGAUGACACCUAGCUUCAAAUAAUUGAAUUUUACAGAGAUUGGAUAUCAGAUUGCUGGUAGUUCAACAGCAGUGCAACAUGGCCCAAGAAAUAAGACAGCCACACCCAGGCGUUGUAUCAAUACCAGGUAAACCAACGACAGUCUUGCCUGAAGUUGGAACUGUUCCUCCUGACAAUCUUGAUUCAAAUGUCAUUUCAAAGACCCCCUUAGUGGUCGGAAAACCAGAUUUCGAAUCCUGGCUGAGUGGAGCAGCAUUACCAACAAGGGGAGAAGAAACUGUAAUUGUGGCAACAACUCCAAUCACCAAAGGAUAAUCAGGGGAACGUUAACAAAAUAUAGCUCGGAAAACAAUUGAACAGCUGUGAAUUCUACCAUUUUGGGGAUAUUAUUACAUUUUUGCUAAAUUUGAAUAAAUGAAAAUUAGGUUUUAUAUGAGGGGAAAAUACAUUUUGGUAAAUGAAUGAAUAUAUUUAGCACCUGGUAUUUUAUGUAAUGUCAAGGCCUGCUGUGUAUACACUCAUUAUUUCUCUGUUUUCGGCAUGCACAGUAUAUCGAAGUAUGAAUGUUCUUUUUUGGGUACAUUCUAUCCGUUUUGAUCCUGAUUAAAAGUUAAAUAGUUACACCAUUUUAUUUAAUGUUUUGUCACAAAUGCUUUUUUUAUUUACAACACUAAUUACUGCUAAUAACAGUGAAUGGAUAUUAUAAACUCAUAAAUCUCAAAUACAAGCUCAUUUAAUAUGCAGAUUACGACAAAAAAAGUCUCCAACUAUUAACUACGUGUUAUCGAGUCUACAGAUUAAACUGCUGAGGAAAUAAUAUGAGCAUAAACAUUGGGCUUGCUCUCAUAUUAACAAUUUUGUACUUGAAUUUAGCCUAUGAGUAUUUAUUUCAUAACCAACGCAGACAUUUGUACCUAACGAUCACAUACAAAGAUACAUCACACAAAAAAUAUUUAAUGGCCCAUGCAAGACGAUGGAUUUUUCACAGCAGGUCAUAACAUAUAAACAUAACACAUUCAGUUUUACAUAAUUGUUGUUGUUGUACAUUGUGCAAUUGCAAACCGUAGUGAUUUCAAGUAUCAAUAGAAAUUGUUGACAGUUGGUCACACCAGCAGUCCUGUAAAGAGUGUCCCAAAUAGGCCAAUCGAAUUGGUUCGCUGCUGCUAUGAUGAUGUUAAUAGGUACCACUAAUGUAUUAACAAUCCAAAGUAACAAAACUUUUCUAAGACAUGUAAUUUAAGAUAUUCGUGGAACAUACAAUGUAAUAGAUUCGAUACACAGAUCAAAUGAGAUAAUAUUACUGAAAUAAUAAAACGUUGUUUCUUCAGGAUAGAAGAAUCAUUAAUUUUAAUUAGUGAAAAUAAAUGAGAUAUAAGCGCUUAAAAAAAAACUACACAUAAAAUGUAUGUUUUUAAAGAGAAUGUACGUUGUACAUAACGUAAAAGCAUGGCAUAGUUUAAUCUCCUAAUCGUUGGAAAUGACAUUGUUUGAAGUGUUUCUUUUUGUAUUCCCAUCAUUGCAUACUUCUACAUCUUUAUUUCGUUUUUACUUUGUAGAAUAUAACGUUGACCCAAAAUAAGAGUGAAUUUAUAGACCUGGAUUUGAUUUGUGUUAUUGUAUACAUAUACCCUGUAGGAUAAAAUGCAAGCUGACCCAAUUCAAUUAAAUUUUGCACAUACUUGAUACUUGGGUAGAGGGUACGAGGAUGACAUGAGAUAUGGUAUGGUAGAAACUAUGAUAUAAAACAAAAAGAUCUAUAACGUUUCUUCAUGUACC